rnacentral:rRNA from 1 species
CCUACGUGUGGCAGCAGUGGGGAAUAUUGCGCAAUGGGCGAAAGCCUGACGCAGCGACGCCGCGUGAGGGAUGAAGGUCUUCGGAUCGUAAACCUCUGUCAGCAGGGAAGAACGGUCACUGUGCUAAUCAGCAGUGAAUUGACGGUACCUGCAAAGGAAGCACCGGCUAACUCCGUGCCAGCAGCCGCGGUAAUACGGAGGGGGCGAGCGUUAAUCGGAAUUACUGGGCGUAAAGCGCUCGUAGGCGGUAUGUCAAGUCAAGGGUGAAAUCCCCGCGCUCAACGUGGGAACUGCCUUUGAAACGGGCAAACUGGAGUGUGUGAGAGGAUAGUGGAAUUCCAGGUGUAGGAGUGAAAUCCGUAGAUAUCUGGAGGAACAUCAGUGGCGAAGGCGACUAUCUGGCACAUAACUGACGCUGAGGAGCGAAAGCGUGGGUAGCAAACAGGAUUAGAUACCCCGGUAGUC